rnacentral:rRNA from 1 species
CAGCCGCCGCGGUAAUACGUAGGGUGCGAGCGUUAAUCGGAUUUACUGGGCGUAAAGCGUGCGCAGGCGGCCCGUUAAGACAGGUGUGAAAUCCCUGGGCUCAACCUAGGAAUUGCGCUUGUGACUGGCGGGCUCGAGUACGGUAGAGGGGGGUGGAAUUCCUGGUGUAGCAGUGAAAUGCGUAGAGAUCAGGAGGAACACCGAUGGCGAAGGCAGCCCCCUGGGCCUGUACUGACGCUCAUGUACGAAAGCGUGGGGAGCAAACAGGAUUAGAUACCCUGGUAGUCCACGCCCUAAACGAUGGGUACUAGCCGUUUGGUGCGCGAUAGCGCUGAGUGGCGAAGCUAACGCGUGAAGUACCCCGCCUGGGGAGUACGGCCGCAAGGUUGAAACUUAAAGGAAUUGGCGGG